GGGUUGUGGUUGAGUUUGAUACUGGGAAUUAGAUGGAAGAUAUUGACCAUGAGAUGGCUGCAUAGAAGACGGCAAGUUUGGUAAUUGCACUGGAGGUAAAUAAUAACCCUGAGCAGGAGUCACAUUUGGAGGUGGCUGUUGCGGCAUGGGCUGCUGGUGAUGCUCCACAGGUCUGGAGGGAACUGAAGGUUGCGGAGGUAUUUGACUGGGUAAAGCAAGAGCUAGUUGUUGUCCACGGGCGUCUGAUGUAUUGUCGUUCUUCUUAGGUUCAGAAGCAGGUGGAGAUGCUCGUUCCUCUCCCUGCUGGGAAUGGGUUGCCGAAUUGG
rnacentral:lncRNA from 1 species